rnacentral:rRNA from 1 species
AGAGUUUGAUCCUGGCUCAGGACGAACGCUGGCGGCGUGCCUAAUACAUGCAAGUCGAGCGCGUGAAACUUCCAGAUCCCUUCGGGGUGAUGGUUGUGGAUCGAGCGGCGGACGGGUGAGUAACACGUGGGCAACCUGCCUGUAAGACUGGGAUAACUUCGGGAAACCGGAGCUAAUACCGGAUAAUCGUUGACACUGCAUGGUGUCAAUGUAAAAGAUGGUUCUGCCAUCACUUACAGAUGGGCCCGCGGCGCAUUAGCUAGUUGGUGGGGUAAUAGCCUACCAAGGCGACGAUGCGUAGCCGACCUGAGAGGGUGAUCGGCCACACUGGGACUGAGACACGGCCCAGACUCCUACGGGAGGCAGCAGUAGGGAAUCUUCGGCAAUGGACGAAAGUCUGACCGAGCAACGCCGCGUGAGCGAUGAAGGUCUUCGGAUCGUAAAGCUCUGUUGUCAGAGAAGAACAAGUGAUAGAGGAAAUGCUAUCGCCUUGACGGUAUCUGACCAGAAAGCCCCGGCUAACUACGUGCCAGCAGCCGCGGUAAUACGUAGGGGGCAAGCGUUGUCCGGAAUUAUUGGGCGUAAAGCGCGCGCAGGCGGCUUCUUAAGUCUGAUGUGAAAGCCCACGGCUCAACCGUGGAGGGUCAUUGGAAACUGGGGAGCUUGAGUGCAGAAGAGGAGAGUGGAAUUCCACGUGUAGCGGUGAAAUGCGUAGAGAUGUGGAGGAACACCAGUGGCGAAAGCGGCUCUCUGGUCUGUAACUGACGCUGAGGCGCGAAAGCGUGGGGAGCAAACAGGAUUAGAUACCCUGGUAGUCCACGCCGUAAACGAUGAGUGCUAGGUGUUGGAGGGGCCACCCUUCAGUGCUGAAGUUAACACAUUAAGCACUCCGCCU